GACCCAUCUUUUUGACAACGU
rnacentral:misc_RNA from 1 species